rnacentral:lncRNA from 1 species
GAUCUAAACACCAUCUGAUCCAGUUUCAAUAUGACUGCCUGGAUGAAGAAGGAUUUGAGACUAAGUUUAUUCCUCCAAAGCAAACCAACUGAGAAUGCAGUUUCUGAGGACCUUGGCUCGUUUCAAAUUCUGGAAAUAUAUUUGAACACCUCUCCCAGAAGUGGGUAAGAAGUUAGAAUAACGGAAAGGCUUGGCUCCAAGUUCAGUUGAAUGUCAAAAAGCCCAAGUUUGGCUGAAUGGACUUUGUGUCAUGAAAUCUCAGCUCCCUCUCUGUUCUUCCAGGCCAAAUACCUACUGGAUGAAACUGAUAAAAUUAAACAAAGAGAGAUUUCAAUGCAACCCAUCAUCAAAGGGAAGGAGUUGAUGAAAAGAAAUGAAAUUGAAACGUGCACCUGGGGAGAAGUGAUUGAAGGUUCUUCAUUUAAGGGAUUGGCUCCUUUUCUCUUAUUAUACUGUGAAAUCUGAAAACAUCUCUUGAAAUUCUGGUCACUGUCUUCUGGACAUCCCAAGGCGCACCAUCUCCACAGUUCCUCCCUCCUAGAUUAUCCAUGGAAAGACUCUUCCUGUGGGCAACUGAAAAGGACACCAAAGAAAGCAGAUACAGCCCAUGAUCAAAGAAGCACAUAACUUCAGUUUGGAACAUG